GUUCGAACCCGGUGACUUCUUUCCAAUAACCAACGUGCAACAACCCCUGCCUCAGAUGCGCGACCCGAUAGCCUAUCGUCCCCGAAAUUACCCGAUGCCUACCCCGUGUGGGCCGGGUGUAAUAUCAUACGCCGACGGGACGCAGAGCCGCAAGAUGAGGAGGGUGGAGAUCAUACGGCCAGCUGGUCCAGCUUGUUCACGAGCGCG
rnacentral:misc_RNA from 1 species